UACGUAGGGGGCUAGCGUUGUCCGGAAUCAUUGGGCGUAAAGCGCGUGUAGGCGGCCCGAUAAGUCCGCUGUGAAAGUCCAGGGCUCAACCCUGGGAUGCCGGUGGAUACUGUCGGGCUCGAGUCCGGAAGAGGCGAGUGGAAUUCCUGGUGUAGCGGUGAAAUGCGCAGAUAUCAGGAGGAACACCAAUGGCGAAGGCAGCUCGCUGGGGCGUGACUGACGCUGAGACGCGAAAGCGUGGGGAGCAAACAGG
rnacentral:rRNA from 1 species